CCUACGGGAUGCAGCAGUGAGGAAUAUUGGUCAAUGGCCGGAAGGCUGAACCAGCCAUGCCGCGUGAAGGUCAGUGCCCUAUGGGCGUUAAACUUCUUUUGUGCGGGAGCAAUAAUGGUCACGUGUGGCCAGACGAGAGUACCGUACGAAUAAGCAUCGGCUAACUCCGUGCCAGCAGCCGCGGUAAUACGGGGGAGGCAAGCGUUAUCCGGAUUUAUUGGGUUUAAAGGGUGCGUAGGCUGUGAGGUAAGUCAGCGGUGAAAUGCCCCCGCUCAACGGGGUGAAGUGCCAUUGAUACUGGCUGGCUGGAAUGGGGAUGCCGUGGGAGGAAUGUGUGGUGUAGCGGUGAAAUGCAUAGAGAUCACACAGAACACCGAUUGCGAAGGCAUCUCACGAACCCGCGAUUGACGCUGAUGCACGAAAGCGUGGGUAUCAAACAGGAUUAGAUACCCCAGUAGUC
rnacentral:rRNA from 1 species